GGACUCGCACAAGCGGUGGAGCAUGCGGUUUAAUUCGAUGCAACGCGAAGAACCUUACCAGGUCUUGACAUACUGUUGCUGGGGUUAGAGAUAAUCCGUUUCUUCGGAACAACAGAUACAGGUGGUGCAUGGUUGUCGUCAGCUCGUGUCGUGAGAUGUUGGGUUAAGUCCCGCAACGAGCGCAACCCUUAUCAUUAGUUGCUAACAGUAAGAUGAGCACUCUAAUGAGACCGCCGGCGCAAGCCGGAUGAAGGUGGGGAUGACGUCAAAUCAUCAUGCCCCUUAUGACCUGGGCUACACGCGUGCUACAAUGGCUAGUACAAAGAGUUGCGAAGCCGCGAGGUGGAGCUAAUCUCACAAAGCUAGUCUCAGUUCGGAUUGUAGUCUGCAACUCGACUACAUGAAGUUGGAAUCGCUAGUAAUCGUGAAUCAGCAUGUCACGGUGAAUACGUUCUCGAGUCUU
rnacentral:rRNA from 1 species